rnacentral:rRNA from 1 species
UGACGUUAGCAACAGAAGAAGCACCGGGCUAACUCGUGCAGCAGCCGCGAUAAUACGGAGGGUGCGAGCGUAAUCGGAAUUACUGGGCGUAAAGCGCAUGCAGGUGGUUCAUUAAGUCAGAUGUGAAAGCCCGGGGCUCAACCUCGGAAACUGCAUUUGAAACUGGUGAACUAGAGUACUGUAGAGGGGGGUAGAAUUUCAGGUGUAGCGGUGAAAUGCGUAGAGAUCUGAAGGAAUACCAGUGGCGAAGGCGGCCCCCUGGACAGAUACUGACACUCAGAUGCGAAAGCGUGGGGAGCAAACAGGAUUAGAUACCCUGGUAGUCCACGCCGUAAACGAUGUCUACUUGGAGGUUGUGGCCUUGAGCCGUGGCUUUCGGAGCUAACGCGUUAAGUAGACCGCCUGGGGAGUACGGUCGCAAGAUUAAAACUCAAAUGAAUUGACGGGGGCCCGCACAAGCGGUGGAGCAUGUGGUUUAAUUCGAUGCAACGCGAAGAACCUUACCUACUCUUGACAUCCAGAGAAGCCAGCGGAGACGCAGGUGUGCCUUCGGGAACUCUGAGACAGGUGCUGCAUGGCUGUCGUCAGCUCGUGUUGUGAAAUGUUGGGUUAAGUCCCGCAACGAGCGCAACCCUUAUCCUUGUUUGCCAGCGAGUAAUGUCGGGAACUCCAGGGAGACUGCCGGUGAUAAACCGGAGGAAGGUGGGGACGACGUCAAGUCAUCAUGGCCCUUACGAGUAGGGCUACACACGUGCUACAAUGGCGCAUACAGAGGGCAGCAAGCUAGCGAUAGUGAGCGAAUCCCAAAAAGUGCGUCGUAGUCCGGAUUGGAGUCUGCAACUCGACUCCAUGAAGUCGGAAUCGCUAGUGAUCGUAGAUCAGAAUGCUACGGUGAAUACGUUCCCGGGCCUUGUACACACCGCCCGUCACACCAUGGGAGUGGGCUGCAAAAGAAGUGGGUAGUUUAACCUUUCGGGG